GCUGAUGGUGGUGAGGUCAUUUUGCACGGU
rnacentral:piRNA from 1 species